rnacentral:rRNA from 1 species
UACGUAGGGGGCGAGCGUUGUCCGGAUUUAUUGGGCGUAAAGAGCUCGUAGGCGGUUUGGCAAGUCGGGUGUGAAAACUCCGGGCUCAACUCGGAGACGCCACUCGAUACUGCCAUGACUCGAGUCCGGUAGGGGAGUGCGGAAUUCCUGGUGUAGCGGUGAAAUGCGUAGAUAUCUGGAGGAACACCGGUGGCGAAGGCGGCAUCCUGGACCGACACUGACACUGAGGAGCGAAAGCCAGGGGAGCAAACGGG